AUCCUCCUGAUGUGGUUACAGAAGCGGGAAGAUUUCUCACCCACAGCCUCAUCAUGCAGCCGUGCCGCAGAUGAUGAGAGAAAGAGAGAGGGGGGAGAUUAUCGAUCUGAUCCACGCCGGGACUCACCUGUCUGUCAAAGCAGGUGUGGACAGAAAGACUGGAGGCUAAAGAAGCGCCCUGUGGAUGUUUUUAUCUCCUGGAUGCAAAGGACGCUUCGGCAAACCCUGAAAAGAAGCCUCAGUUUUUCCAGUUUGCUGCUCUGACGAAUGAAGGAGCCUGUUUCUGUCUUUGGUUAUCUAGCUGUAUGAGUGUAAACUCUCCAUCAUAAAGCUAGAUAACCGAAAGCAGGAAUGACCUCCAAAGCUUCGGACCCUCACCUCAUGUGAGAGGAACCCUGGAAAAAGGAAGAAGCUUCACAUGAUGUGUUCAGCUAAAACAACGAUGAGCCUCAAUCCAGCCAUGCUUCAGAAUGAGAGGAUGAGCACAUCUUCCAGCAGCAUGCUGGGACCUGGCAGCUCGUCUGAAGAUGGACACAUGGAGCUGAACUCAGACCGAACAGUUCAAACAGUCAGAUAAAGACACAAAGAUGUAACGAUGCUUGUAAAGAUAGUUAGGUAAAUUAUUUCAUAUGAAAAGUGAUAAUGCAGGUUAUUAGAUUAGCCUGGAAAUGUCUUAAAAUCAUUUUCGAUAGAAGAAAAUAUGCCUGUUUAGCCUCAACUUAAAUAAUUCUUAUAUCUAAAUGGUGUUAACAGAUGCAAUAUCCUUUUUUUAUUUUUUCAAAACAAAAUGCUGAAAAGUGCAUUAUUUUAAUGUAAGCUGUUCAAUUAUCCAUGUCUUCAA